UACGAGAGGCCCAAACGUUAUUCGGAUUUACUGGGCUUAAAGAGUUCGUAGGCGGUUCGGUAAGUGAGGUGUGAAAGCCCUCGGCUCAACCGAGGAAUUGCGCUUCAAACUGCCGGGCUCGAGGGAGAUAGAGGUGAGCGGAACUGAUGGUGGAGCGGUGAAAUGCGUUGAUAUCAUCAGGAACACCAGAGGCGAAGGCGGCUCACUGGGUCUCUUCUGACGCUGAGGAACGAAAGCUAGGGGGAGCAAACGGG
rnacentral:rRNA from 1 species